rnacentral:rRNA from 1 species
AGUCGAGGGGUAUAGGUUUUCGGACCUAGAGACCGGCGCACGGGUGCGUAACGCGUAUGCAAUCUACCUUUUACAGAGGGAUAGCCCAGAGAAAUUUGGAUUAAUACCUCAUAGUAUUACGACUCGGCAUCGAGAUGUAAUUAAAGUCACAACGGUAAAAGAUGAGCAUGCGUCCCAUUAGCUAGUUGGUAAGGUAACGGCUUACCAAGGCAACGAUGGGUAGGGGUCCUGAGAGGGAGAUCCCCCACACUGGUACUGUGACACGGACCAGACUCCUACGGGAGGCAGCAGUGAGGAAUAUUGGUCAAUGGGCGCAAGCCUGAACCAGCCAUGCCGCGUGCAGGAUGAAGCAUCUAUGGUGUGUAAACUGCUUUUGUACGAGAAGAAACACUACUUCGUGAAGUAGCUUGACGGUAUCGUAAGAAUAAGGACCGGCUAACUCCGUGCCAGCAGCCGCGGUAAUACGGAGGGUCCAAGCGUUAUCCGGAAUCAUUGGGUUUAAAGGGUCCGUAGGCGGUUUUGUAAGUCAGUGGUGAAAGCCCAUCGCUCAACGGUGGAACGGCCAUUGAUACUGCAAGACUUGAAUUAUUGGGAAGUAACUAGAAUAUGUAGUGUAGCGGUGAAAUGCUUAGAGAUUACAUGGAAUACCAAUUGCGAAGGCAGGUUACUACCAAUAUAUUGACGCUGAU